CCUGCAUGUAAGAAAUUACUAUUUUCUUUGUAUGCUGAGUCUGUUUUUUUCCUCUAUGGUAAAUGCUGAGUGAUCUCCCUGAUUUAUACCUCAAACCAUGAACAUUUUUUCAUCAGGGUUUUCUCUACCCGUUCUUUUCAGAACAGAGAGUGAGGGACCAGCAUGGUGGAGAUUUGCUAUCCAUUGGUGUGAAACUGCCACAGACAUGAAACUUGAGCAGAAGUGAAAAAAACCACAACAUAGAUGAAAAGCAAAACACAAAAACUCUGCUGCAAAGGGUUCAUAAUAAUAUACUUAGGAAGGAAGAAUAAUACAGAAGAGACUGCACAUCAGCUGAAUUUAAGUGAUUUUACUUUUUUGUUGAUCCAGCUUGUCACAGCAAAGGAAGGAUUUUUAAAAAAAAUUUGUUAUGACUCUCCAUAUAAAUGAUACAGAAGACAACUUACUGAUAAAGACAAGUCUCAAAACAUUUCAGCUGCAAAUUCCAAAUGAUUCUUAGUUCACAUAGAGAAAGCAAAGAAAGUAGUUCCAGAUAAAUCUUGUCAUGAGCAGUAUUGUUUUGUAUUCAGUGCUUUCACUGUAUAAAACAAAUUGCACAAUUCCUUUGAGAGAAACCCACUUCAUUUCCAAGAUACAAGUCCUGGGAUCUUCAAAAUGGUUUGUUCCCUGUCUUUAUUUCUGAACAGAAGGAAUAUUUAUGCUCUCCCCAGGAAAACGUUUUCAAAUAUAAUUAACUCAGAACACUCUUCUCUCCUUCUCUUGAAAAUAUCGGUAAGACUUUCUCCUAAAUCAAGCUAAUGUUACCAUCUGGCACAUAUAAAAUUGUACACUGAUUGUGAAAGAACAAGAUCAUGAACUGUUUAUCGCCAACAAUGACAGAAAGUUAGAAGUAGUUGAAACAGAAAAUCAAAAAGCAAGCUUUACU
rnacentral:lncRNA from 1 species